rnacentral:miRNA from 1 species
ACGCCGAGCCCGACGCGCAAUGCU